rnacentral:rRNA from 1 species
UACGUAGGGUGCAAGCGUUGUCCGGAAUUAUUGGGCGUAAAGAGCUCGUAGGCGGUCUGUCGCGUCUGUUGUGAAAACUCGAGGCUCAACCUCGGGCUUGCAGUGGAUACGGGCAGACUAGAGUGCGGUAGGGGAGACUGGAAUUCCUGGUGUAGCGGUGGAAUGCGCAGAUAUCAGGAGGAACACCCGUGGCGAAGGCGGCUCUCUGGGCCGAUACUGACGCUGAGGAGCGAAAGCGUGGGGAGCGAACAGG